rnacentral:rRNA from 1 species
CCUACGGGAGGCAGCAGUGGGGAAUAUUGGACAAUGGGGGGAACCCUGAUCCAGCGACGCCGCGUGAGUGAAGAAGUAUUUCGGUAUGUAAAGCUCUAUCAGCAGGGAAGAAAGAAAUGACGGUACCUGACUAAGAAGCACCGGCUAACUACGUGCCAGCAGCCGCGGUAAUACGUCGGGGGCAAGCGUUAUCCGGAUUUACUGGGUGUAAAGGGAGCGUAGACGGCGAUGCAAGUCUGAAGUGAAAACCCAAAGCUCAACUAUGGGAAUGCUUUUGAAACUGCUCAGCUAGAGUGCAGGAGAGGCAAGUGGAAUUCUUAGUGUAGCGGUGAAAUGCAUAGAUAUUAGGAGGAACACCAGUGGCGAAGGCGGCUUGCUGGACUGUAACUGACACUGAGGCUCGAAAGCGUGGGGAGCAAACAGGAUUAGAUACCCCGGUAGUC